GCUGAAGGCCUGGCUCUCUCAAAGUCACUAGCAGUACCACACUUAUCCCCGAAGGCCUGCUGUGCAAGCUGUCUGGCAUCCGUGCCCAGAUGCCGAGGGGUUGUGGGCGCAGGGUUUGCACGCACCCCCGCGGGUGCUGGCUGCCUGAACUCCCUAACUCGAAGUGCUAAUGCAGCGUGGCAGGGAAGGGAGCUGAAACAUCCUUUCACCGGGGAGUUGCACCCUGAAAGCUGCUGGCCGCCCUGGGGAGGAGGUAUGAGGUCAAGCACCAGGAUGCCUUCGUCCCUAGACUCCAACAUGACCACACUUCCUGAAAGGAUGUGUACAUCCCGGCUGUCAAAGCUGUGCCCGUCCUGGUACUAUAAGAAUGGAGAUCCUAACAUCCCACCAACUGCUAGAAAGCUGAAAUAUUUGGGGAAAUUCUGCUUCACCUCUGUGGCUUCAUUCACGAGUAUCCUUUGCUUAUUCUCGAGGCUCAGAUAACUGGCUCAUGCCCCGGAAUCCCACAGUUCUCUAGGUAGCUCAUUCAUAUUUCCAGGGAACUUUGCCCUGUGGUAUGGUUACUUGUAUGCAUCUCAUACCUCCUCUACCAGACUAAACCUGCCCCUUAUCGUUGUAUUCCCCGUUCACUUACCAAUGUGCAGAGAUUCCCCUGUGUUCGGUCGUGCAAUCCAAAGAUCAAUAGAAUACAGCCUCCAGAGUCAAGGAGCUGCAGGUCUGGUGGGGCAGAGAAGACACUGUAUGAUACAACCUAAGUAUAAAGAUAGAAAGAUGCAGAAGGGGCCGAGGCCGGGGUGAGGCACAGAGGAAGGCUCAUGACUCAGGAGGUCAUUUGGAGCUGAGGUUUUAAAGUCUGGGUAGGAGUUUCCCGGAUAAGGUAGGGGAGGGUGUUUCAGGUAGAAGGGAAAGCAUGGGCGUGAUGGAAGUUAGGCUAGCCAGAGCUCAGGGUGCGUAGGAGAAGUGUGCAGAGAGGAGGUGGGGGGUAAGUCAGGGAGGAAUAGUCCAAGAAGGGCUCAGGACAGUGGGUGCUACAUAAAUGAUUUCUGCACGAGAAAAUACGUUAUUGCUAUUGUUUCACAAGGCAAAUGGAAGUUUUGUCCUGUGGACUAUCUGAGCUCUCCUUUCAGGCCGAGCUCUCUUUCCAGGCCUACUUGAACCAUCCAUCAUGGUGAGAGCAUGUCCCUGAAUGCUGGGGGAGGGCGUCACGGGGGAGAGCCAGAGAGAGGGCUGGCCUCGCUCGAAGCUUCCAGCAGACAGCCAAGCUGCUCUUUAAAUUAGGGCUCCUCAGAUCACUCCUGCCUUAUAUGCAACCUGUGGGUCUUAAUUUGGCUGUUAUGGAGCUGUUUUCUUUCCUAACUUCAAAGCCCAUGUUUUUAUUAAAGCCUCUGAAAAUCAUUUGCACCUUCCAACUUUGGUCUCUUCCCAUUGUCCUUUAUCAUCCUGGUGAGGAAGCUACGCUGUGCUCCCCACUCCAGGCUCAGAA
rnacentral:lncRNA from 12 species